ACAGCAGUCGCCGCGGUAAUACGGAGGGAGCUAGCGUUGUUCGGAAUUACUGGGCGUAAAGCGCGCGUAGGCGGUUACUCAAGUCAGAGGUGAAAGCCCGGGGCUCAACCCCGGAACUGCCUUUGAAACUAGGUGACUAGAAUCUUGGAGAGGUCAGUGGAAUUCCGAGUGUAGAGGUGAAAUUCGUAGAUAUUCGGAAGAACACCAGUGGCGAAGGCGACUGACUGGACAAGUAUUGACGCUGAGGUGCGAAAGCGUGGGGAGCAAACAGGAUUAGAUACCCCAGUAGUCCCUGUCUCUUAUAA
rnacentral:rRNA from 1 species